UGAAACUGCGAAUGGCUCAUUAAAUCAGUUAUAAUUUAUUUGAUAGUACCUUACUACUUGGAUAACCGUGGUAAUUCUAGAGCUAAUACAUGCUAAAGCCUCCCGACUUCUGGAAGGGGGUGUAUUUAUUAGAUAAAAAACCAAU
rnacentral:rRNA from 1 species